rnacentral:rRNA from 1 species
CCUACGGGUGGCAGCAGUGAGGAAUAUUGGUCAAUGGGCGGAAGCCUGAACCAGCCAAGUAGCGUGCAGGAUGACGGCUCUACGGGUUGUAAACUGCUUUUAUACGGGAAUAACGCGCCUUACGUGUAGGGCUUUGCAUGUAACGUAUGAAUAAGGAUCGGCUAAAUCCGUGCCAGCAGCCGCGGUAAUACGGAAGGUCCGGGCGUUAUCCGGAUUUAUUGGGUUUAAAGGGUGCGUAGGCGGCAUGUCAAGCGUGCGGUGAAAUGUUGGGGCUCAACCCCAGCCUUGCCGCGCGAACUGGCGUGCUUGAGUCCGCUGAAAGCAGGCGGAAUUCGUCGUGUAGCGGUGAAAUGCUUAGAUAUGACGAAGAACCCCGAUUGCGAAGGCAGCUUGCUACGGCGGAACUGACGCUGAUGCUCGAAAGCGCGGGGAUCGAACAGGAUUAGAUACCCGAGUAGUC